UAACCUCUGCAGGCUGGUGGGCCCCCAAGCUGGGCUGGACGGGGCCUCUUUGAAAGCCUCACCCUUAAGAGCAAGUAGGAGC
rnacentral:pre_miRNA from 1 species